UGUGCAUAUGUUAACGUAAGCAUUUACGACGUAAGCCAAGCUACAAGAUUUGAACUACAAACGAUCGAACGUAAAACAUUUACCAUGCGGUCGCAACAUGUGUGCUGCGAGCAAGACGACUACAGCAAAUGCACUGCCCAGCCGCUGCAUGUAGGUCGAAACGGGAUGGCGAUAGUCGCGAGCAUCCACAACAACACAACGCAAAUGUCAAGCUAAUAGAAAUGCGACAACAAAUAAAACGCACAGCUGGCAAUGACAAGCGCGAGAGAGAGGGAGAGGGAAAGAGUAGAGCGUCUCUCUCUCGCUCUCGAUUUCGACAGCAAACGAAGAAGAGCCACACAGAAGAAGAGAGCGUUACUCGUGAACAACAUAGCGAUAACAGUGUUCUCCCCCCACCAUUUGCAACGCAACAUUUGAUCGUGUGCCGCGUGCGCUGUUGGACGUAUCUGUUCGCUCGUCGCUCGGCUACAGAAUCAAACACGCUUCGAGUGUGGCAAGAACGUCAACUACUACACAGACCAAAAAAUUAAAAAAAAUCUCAAUCAAAUUCUGUUUGUCGCCUGCUGCUGUUGGCCGAACACACGUGCAGAGCAGCGGUUCAACAGACUUAGAGGAGCUCCGACCCAGGAAACUACAGCGGGAUAUUCCCGCUGGCAACAAAAAAAUAGAAUAUUGAAAUGAAAUAAAACAAAAAAACAUUUAAAACAGCACAAGUAAUCUUAAACUAUAACUGACUUCCGGCAAGUGUGUGCUCAUAAAACAAAAAAUAGAUACUCACAAAUCGUUCAAUUGUUAAUGCAAAGUGCUUUAAACGAAAACUAAUAAAUAAAUAACCGAAAACUUCAAACAAUGAAUAGAGCAAACGAUUAAAUAAACCAAAUGCACACAAAUUUUCAACUUUUAAUGGAUUCGCUUUUUGCGGUUUGCGGCUGCUACUGUUGUAAAUGUGUGUGUGUAUCAGUGUGUUUGAGUGUGCGAGUGUUUGCGUGUGUGUUCAGGAUUUUAACACCUUGACACAGCGCCCGGAGUCCGAGAGUCGACGUCGGAGAAGCGUGUUUCACACAUUUUAUAAAAAUUGACGCGAAUAAUGUAUGAAAAAUGUUUCCACGGAUUUUGUGGAUUUGUGUUGAGCCCCGGACUUUGACACUUUACACGUGCUCGGUCAACUUUUGGGCCGCAGCUUUAGCGCUUGCCAGCCAGGCAUUAAGAGGCGUCCAAAUAUUAAAUGCAAUUAAGCACAUUUAUCAAAUUAUAAUUAACACGAAUAUUAAGCAAAUUCCGCCCAAUCGAGUGCUUCCCCACAUCAUCUGCACACAUCUCCAACGAAAACUAAAUAUUUGAAGGGUUCCAUCACACGUUGACAUGACGAUCGCAAAUUUGAAAUUAAAAAAAAAUAAAUAAAUCGCGUCAUGGUUUUAUAAUUAAAGAACAAUCAAACUGUGAAACGAUGUGGGGCAUGCGAUGGGGUGAGUAAUCAGGUAAUAUUUACGUACAUAAAUAAAUUAACAUCACUCAACGCGUCAUAUGUAUUUUGUACAUUUUUCAAACCCUUUCAAAUGUCCCGCCAAAACUAAAUCUGACACCAUUAACAUAAUUCUGUACACCAUUCCAUUUUAUAUUUUAUAUUAUUUUACAUCAAAAUCAAAACUAAUAUACUUAUCUACUAAUUUAUUAUUUCUAUUUCCCAUAUUACAAAAUCGAAAUUAAAUUAAAACUAAUACUAUAACUAUAAAACGCGUGUCGCACGCUGCUCUGCUGUUCAGUUCGGUUCGACGUGGUUCGUUCGCCACAAGUUCGAUGUUGCCAUGCAACCGGUUGUUCGUUUAACAGUGCCAUUUCGAGUUAACAUUGCGAUGUUGUAGCAACCGCUGCUGUGCUGUUAAAGAGUUUCAAAAAAAAUUUCGAGUUUCCGCCCGCCAGUUUCUCAACAUUUUGUCGCGUUUCUCAAUUCAUAUUUGGUGCUCGAUCGCGACGGUUACCGGUGUCUGCUGACUGCUGUCCAGUGGCUCUCUCGCUCAUUCGUUGUAUGGCCGUCGACGCGUGUGCAUUGUCGCUUUCGUGUACUCGUAUUUCCGGUGUCCAAAAAAAAAUAAGCAGCCAACAUUAAUACAAUAGAAAGCAAUAUAUGUGCAUGUAUUUGAAUCAAGUGUCAAGGCAAAAAGUUUCAAUUAACGUUUAUCCAUUUACACGAAUAUCGAACACUUCGCAUGCACACACACCACACAUACAUACUUUUAUAUAUAUAUACAUAUGUGUGUGUGGGUGUGUGCACAAAUCGGGUUACUGUUGUGCGCGAAGCGACUGGCGCCAGCGUCGAUUUAAUUAUAAAUACAUCAACAAUAAUCGUUUAUAGUACGCUUGUAUGCCAUUUACAUUUGUAUUGUAUAUAACAUUGUGUGCACCAUUUCGAAAUUGUUACACACACUGGUUGGGUUGGUAGGCGUUGCUUUUUUGCCAGCCUUUUUCUCUCCCGCUCCCGGCAUCACGCGCCCCGGUGCAAAGUUAAACUUGCCGAGAAGAGAACGGAAGAGAGGAGGAGGAGAAACACGCCUGUAGAAAUUCUUUCAAAAUGUAUGUCAUCUUCAGCAGCAGACGAAUCGCAUUACAAACUGAUCAAUUUUAUAAUAUCGCUAGUUAUUUUUAUGAGGAGAUUAACUACGAAUCGAAACUAGAGAACGUUGUGCUGCUUAUCGACAGUUCAAAGUUUCGAUUCCAAGGUUUAAAGCACAGCUCUUGGAACGAUAAUAAUGCUUCUAUAAAUACAAAUAGUGUGUGGGUAUGUGUAUGCAUAUUUGUUGAAAUGUUCAUACAUAUAUGCAUGAUAAAUAAGAGGAAAUGGAAUGACGUGAAAUGGAAACAAAAGUGAAAACUACAAAAAUUCAACUUGCAAUCAGAAAUUUGCAAGGACAUCUGUUCACAUCUUACCGGGCAGCAUUAGAUUCUUGAUUUAAAUAAUUCUAAUACUGUCAGGUAAAGAUGUCGUCCGUGUCCUUAUCCAUCAUAAAUACAAAAAUCCAAAAAACCAACAACGACAACGAAACGCAAACAAAUGAGAAGAAUGGAAACGAGUUUUUCAAUUGUGUCUACAGGAAAAGCUGCAGACCCAAAAAAAAAAAACAAAAAAAAAAGUAAAAAGGGGAAGACCCCGAAAGACAGUUGGUCCACUGUGAGCACUGUCAAAAUCUUCCCCAGAAAAUUGGUCUCAACAUUUUUAUAAAUAUUUUUUGCAGCAUCAGAAAUGACGCGUUUUUUUUUGCUCUAGGAUGACAUCAGUUGAGAGAUAGACAGAGAGAUCAUCGAUGUCCCCGUGUGCGUGUUUGUUUCUCUAUAUAUACUUUAUAAGACUAUAUAUGUACGUGUGUAUGUGUGCAGGUAAACACUAUGGAAAGGGAAAAGAAAAGAGAUGGCAAGUCAAGUUAGCUGUAGAAGAACUCAUAAAAAUAUAUAUUUUAUGGUCCCACUUCAUUUUUUCUGCUCUUCAGUUUUUUGCUUGUUAUUCUCUUGUUCAUUUUAUUUUUGGGCUAAACAUUUCCAUUUUAUUGUUUUGCCGUCGGAUUUCUCCAUUUCUUAGCCGUAUUUAGUGACAAAAUGCCAGUUUUAUGAUUGCCUUGCUAAACCAAUUUACGACCUUAGUUUCGCAUAAAGAGCAGGUUGAGGUUUCGUUUCAUCAUUAACGAUAUUUAACUUUUGCGUGUUGUUUUCGAAGAGACAAAAAAAAUAAAAAAAUCCAUAGACGACCUUCCCGAUGUCCCAAGAAUUCCACAAUUCUGAGACAACAAUUAAAUUCUCGCAAGUUUACGAGGGAAAUGAAUUAAGAAUUAGAAUAAGUCGCUUGUUCUAGGAAAAUGCAAAUAACUUUGAGUCUAAACUGAAUAAUGAGUUCUACAUUCCAUAGAUACACACACAAGUGUGUGCGUGUGUAUGUGUGAUAGAUAGGUUAACAAAUAGCUAACUGUAAGUUGGCCAGCUCAUCCCGAGAUAAGAACAUAUGAGAACUAGCAUUGAGGGCGUCGACGCUCGUCAAACAUUUCACACCAAGGUAAAAGUGUCUAUAAACGCAACAAGUGGCACUCAACAAACAAGAGAAACAUCAACUAUCAACUACAACCACAAUCUCAGACAAGACAACUAAGCCAAUUGUCAAGAGUAGCACACAAAGAAGAAGCUGUAUUUAUUUAUUUUGGAGAAUAGGCAGAAUAUCUUCUUAUACACAGACAGUCAGUCAGAUAGAUAGACAAUUGGAGAGUCAAAAGUUGUAAACGGUUUACAGCUCUUUAAAUUUUACAGUUUUCCCAUUUUCUUUAUUCGCUUUUUAUUUUUGGGUUUUGGCUCUGAAUCUAAUCAAGGUGUCGAGUAACAGGGAAAUACUUUAAAUUCAGCAUUGCGAUACGUGUUAGUUUCGGUUGCCCCGUCGCGACGACGUAACCGAGACGAAUCCAACACCUGUUGAUGGAGCGAACAGACAAAGUCGAAUGCAGACCAAUUCCAUUAAACCAAUGUCGUAAUCAAUUUCAAUCGCCUUAAACUUUGUACUCCAUUAAGAAAUUGAUCCGUAGGUAAUUGGGAUUCGCAACGAGUUGAUGACAGGUGAUCGUCGAUGAUCUAUACAAUGUUCUCUCAGAAAUACAAACUAUAAAAGUAUCGCGUUGUAAUAUGAAAGUAAAUUGCUGAUGAUCGCAUCUCAAUUGUAAAUAUCGCGGUUAUAUAAUAAACUAUAAAAGUAGCAGCAGCAGCAGUAAUAAGUAUAAAAUGUGUGCCUCAUGGCUGUCAUUAUCAAACGUAGUUAUUUCACAAUCUGACCGACUGUAUGAGUUACCCCCGAUUGCAAUCAAGAACUUAACACUGGCAAUAGAAAACACUUCAGCCGCCGCUAUAUACUCCACAUACAUAUGUAUGUGUAUAUAUGGUUUAUAUGUAUAGGCUAUUUAUUAUUGAGUGGCCAUCGGAUCGAGGUAGGGGGGAAUGCGAUUGUAUCGAUUAAGUGCUGUUAAUCAAAAAUGCGACCAGAACACUUGAUAUCCACACGUCAAAGAUAAUGCCAGCUGGCCUAGUUGGUCUGCUCUGCGUUGCGCUGCUCUGCUCUGGUCUGGCCUGGCAACGACAUCAAUAUCCCAUCCAAUAUGAUACAAUCCCAAAUACCUAACAACAAAUUAAAUAACCAAAAUUAAUUUCAUAUCAUCAUAUGACUCUAUCUCAGCCCAACUGUCACUUGACCAAGCAACCAAGCAACAACAAAAAAUAGAAAAAAUUAAAAUAAAAAUGAUUCCGAUUGCUUCCUAUUAAUUUGCAAAGUGAUUGUGACUCUCAGAAAUCGAAUGAAAACUAUUGACGGAAGGCUUUUGAAAUGUGUGUAAUUGUAAGAAUUUUCAAUCGAUGAUACUCUUGAGAUUUUUAUUUGAGAUGACAUCAAAUAGGUUGACAGGUGAUUUCGAUUUCAAUUUCCUAAACGUGGCCAUUUACACGACACAACGCAACGCACAGAUUUCCAAUGUGGUUGACUCGCUAUCUCAUUUGAAGGCCUCUCAAAUACGCUCAUACCCUCAAAAUGGAAGCCACAAUAAAUGCAAAAUGUGCUGGUCAUCGACGGCAGGCAAGUAUCUAAUCUCCCACUGAGAGCCAAGUGGACUGACUGCCUGCCUGACUGUAAGAUAGUACCGCCUUGCAAAGGAGGUGCGAACUAGGAAAAGACUAUGUGUAUAUCGACGAUAUCACAUUAUCAUAAAUACGAGAUUUCAAUGCAAUUACUUGUGGGGCAAUAUGCAUAUUUGAUUGUUAAUGGCGCUCGGACAUACAAUAUUUUCUUAGCUUGUGUUGCACAGUGUUGCAUGCUGUGUGUUGUUGCAAUUAUUAGCAAGUUUUUGUAACCUGCAGCUGACAAACGACAAGCUAAAGUACGCGCAAGUGCAAAUGAAAUAAAAUGUAAAAGAAGAUGGAGAGACAACAAACUAAACAGAAGACAAACAAAAAAAAAAAACGAGUGAAGAUUAAGUUUUAUUUUAGCCAACUGCUGACUGCUACUGUUGGCCAUUUUAUGCAUUUGGCUUUUGCGAUACGAUUUUUGAAUUUCUCGUUUUUUUCUUUUUUCGUUUGUUUGUUGCUGCUGCUUUAUUUAUAGCAUAAAAUUUUGUAGCAAGUUUGCCGCCUGCUGCCGUCCUGAGCAGAGCAGAGCAGAGCAGCGCAGCGCAAUGGAGCAACAGAGUUAUUAAUGCUUGGAAUUUUCAUAAUCGAAACAAGUUUUCAACCGGCAGCCAGCCAGGCAAGGAAGCACGCGCGUUUGCUUAUGUGGACCCCAGUUCCAGCCGCCGUCUCAGCCUCAGUCGCAGUCUCCGUCUCAGUCUCCGUCUCCGUCUUAGUCUCUGUCUCAGACUUGAGACCUCGAGUCUCCAAGCUGCUGUCGUUGUUGUUGUUGUUGCUGUUGCUUUAAUAACUAACGCCUCUCGCUGGCAAAAGUCAAGCUAGCUAGCGUUAAGCAAACCAAGCCAAGACAAGCCCGACUCAACUCGACUCGGUUCGAGUUCGCCUCGGACCUGGCCAGGAGAAGAGAGAGAAAGAGAGGGGCGGGGGAGAGAACGGUUGGGUACAAGCUCCAUGACUGGCAGUGGUAGAGUUAUGGCAAGACAAGCACACGCCUUGCGCGAACAGGUGAAGCGUUUAACUGUACGUCGGCGGAGUCAGAGUAUAUGGCAUACUACACUACACUAUACUCUACGAUAUGUAUGUAGUAGGUAUCUACAGAGAGAGGGGCAGACAAGAGAGAGGCCGGCUUGGCAGGCCAAUUGACUUGGCUGUGACUGAGACGGCUGAGACUGAGACGGCUGAGACUGUGACUGCUGCGGUUGCGAGCUUGGGGGUUGGGGGCCGGGCAACCUGUUGGACUUUGUCGACUCGAAGCUAAAGCUGAGGCUGUAGCUGAAUCUGAAUCUGAAGUUGACGCUGACGCUGUUGUUGCAGUUCCAUUCGCAUAUAUACAUAUUCUGUUAAUAUUUAUUUAUAUUUGAAAAGUGUGUUUAAUUAAAAACAUACGUUAAGCGAUUUGAAUUGGAUUUUCAAUCUAAGAAAUCUGACAUCUAACUAAUUGCAACUAUAAUAAAAUAUGAAAUACAAUAUUAACUAAGCAAUAUAUACUUGUAUUACAAUCCCGAUAAAAUUAUGAAGAUAAAGUAGCUGUAGAUACAGAUAAUAAACAUAAUUUAAGCGAUUCAAGUUUGAUUUGCAAUUAAAAAAGUAUGACAUUGAACUAAUUGCCAAAGAACAUUUAAUAAAAUAUAAAUGAUAAUAAUAAUUAAGCAAGAUAUAAAAUAUAUAUAAUGGCUGCAAUGUAGAUACAACUAGCAAGAUAAAACAGCAGUAGUUGCAAAUU